rnacentral:rRNA from 1 species
UACGGAGGGUGCGAGCGUUGUCCGGAAUCACUGGGCGUAAAGGGCGCGUAGGCGGCGCGGGCAGUCAACGGUGAAAGCUCGGAGCUCAACUCCGAGUCGGCCGUCGAUACUCCCGUGCUUGAGCACUGUAGAGGCAGAUGGAAUUCCGGGUGUAGCGGUGGAAUGCGUAGAGAUCCGGAAGAACACCGGUGGCGAAGGCGGUCUGCUGGGCAGUAGCUGACGCUGAUGCGCGAAAGCGUGGGGAGCAAACAGG